rnacentral:rRNA from 1 species
UGAACGCUGGCGGCGUGCCUAAUACAUGCAAGUCGAACGAGGUAGCAAUACCGAGUGGCGAACGGGUGAGUAACACGUAGGUAACCUGCCCUUAAGCUUGGGAUACCCAGAGGAAACUUUGGCUAAUACCGGAUAACAACAGAGAAGGCAUCUCUUGCUUGAAAGGCCCUUCAAGGGUCACUUAAGGAUGGACCUGCGGCGCAUUAGCUAGUUGGUGAGAUAACAGCCCACCAAGGCGAGGAUGCGUAGCCGAACUGAGAGGUUGAUCGGCCACAUUGGAACUGAGACACGGUCCAAACUCCUACGGGAGGCAGCAGUAAGGAGUUUUCGGCAAUGGGGGAAACCCUGACCGAGCAACGCCGCGUGAGCGAUGACGGUCCUUUGGGAAUUGUAAAGCUCUGUUGUAAGCCAUGAAUGACAGCUUGAGGAAAUGCAAGUUGUUUGACGACAGCUUACCAGAAAGCCACGGCUAACUACGUGCCAGCCGCUGC